rnacentral:rRNA from 1 species
ACUCAAAUGAAUUGACGGGGACCCGCACAAGCGGUGGAUGAUGUGGAUUAAUUCGAUGCAACGCGAAAAACCUUACCUACCCUUGACAUGUCAGGAAGUCCGCUGAGAGGUGGAUGUGCCCGAAAGGGAACCUGAACACAGGUGCUGCAUGGCUGUCGUCAGCUCGUGUCGUGAGAUGUUGGGUUAAGUCCCGCAACGAGCGCAACCCUUGUCAUUAGUUGCUACAUUUAGUUGGGCACUCUAAUGAGACUGCCGGUGACAAACCGGAGGAAGGUGGGGAUGACGUCAAGUCCUCAUGGCCCUUAUGGGUAGGGCCUCACACGUCAUACAAUGGCGCAUACAGAGGGUUGCCAACCCGCGAGGGGGAGCCAAUCCCAGAAAGUGCGUCGUAGUCCGGAUCGGAGUCUGCAACUCGACUCCGUGAAGUCGGAAUCGCUAGUAAUCGCGGAUCAGCAUGUCGCGGUGAAUACGUUCCCGGGUCUUGUACACACCGCCCGU